UAUUAGGUUCAUAUAAGGAAAAAAUAAUAAUUGUGUUGUUAGUCUAGAAGAAUCUGGUUCUCUCUAUCUGUAACCAAAAAUAAUAAAAAAAGUAAAAAAGUCAGAGCGACACAGCUUGCAUAAGCAACUCUUCUUCAAAUCAGUGAGUCGCCAAUAGCCAGAGCUUCUAUCUAACAUAUAGACAUAAAUCGAGGACCUGCAACAAAAAAUUAGGAAACAUAUCAACAAAAUCGGACAACAGAUUCUAAAAUCGAAGCCUUAACCAGCGUCAUCCAGAGAUCACAUGUAGCUACUAAGUUAUUUUCUGAUGAACACUUAUUAUUGACAGACCCAUGGACUUAAGUACAAUAAAGAACCAAAUGAUGGCUCCGGGUAUAAGCGUGUCAUAGAGAUUAGUGUUGAUGUUAGGCUGUUGCCAAGAAUGCAAUGAAGUACAAUGAUGGCAAGUGUGAUGUUCAUCUGAUGGAGAAAAUAUUACUGGAAAAAUUUGAGGAGAAAUGGUUACAACUUCUGCCAAAAGUUAAUGAGAAGGUAACUAUUACUUUGAACAAUUCUGUUCUUUGGUAUGGCUUCCGUAAUUUCUUAAUAUAAUGAUGCUUGUGUUUGGUUGACAAUGAUAUGUAGGUUGUACUCUAUUUGUUCUAGAGUAUUUUCUCAAGUAAUUUAGAGCUCUCAUGGCUCCUGACUGAUAUUUACGAUUCACUAGUUUGUUUUGUGGACAAUGAUAUGUAGGUAGAGUUCAAUAACAGAGGGAGUAGUAUAUUUAGACAAUCUUUUACUUUUUCUUUUUCAUCUCUAAGAAAUAGACGCAACAACUUCUCUUCACCAUCGACUAUCCCUACUGCUCCCUCUCCAGUGCAAUGGCAGACUUUCUUGCCUCUUCUCCAAUAACCGCUACAAUGGCAGACAUUCUUGCUUCUUCUCCAACAAUCGUUGCAAUGGCAAACUUUCUUGCCUCUUCCCCAUCAAUUGCCAUUGGUAAUUUUUAAACUCUUGUAUCCAAAAUUUGGCUGUAAUGUUGAAAUUUCUCAUAUUUGACAGUCAUCUGCUUUCCCUCUUAAAGAAAAAAAAAUGGGCUAUUGAGUUAUCAAGAACAUUUCUUAACUUAAGAUAUCCUGGAUAACAAUGGUUAUAUUUCACUAUUUCUAUAUCCAUCCUAUAAUUAAUUUCUUUUAUAGUCAAAAUUUAUAAAAUAACUGUAGUUGAAAUUCUUUUGUUUUUCUGACAAAAUUUAGUUCAACAUUUGGAGUUGGGGAUUGUAAUGUGUUUUUUAGUUGACCGGUUGUUAGUAUAGUGGUAUCAGAAGUGGUAUGUGUUGCAUCCUAGAGAAAAAUUGUAUCAGUACAUGUCUCUACCAAUAGUUACUGGUAAACCUGAAAUAGUGUGCAAAUUUAUGAAUUGAAAAAUGGUUUUUAGCAGCCAAAAUAGGACUAUGUUUAUUAGAAAAAAAAGAGUGGCAAUUCAGGUAAGAGGUGGGGAAAAGGGGUAGGAACGGUUUUUAAAUAAGAGUCACAAUAUGGUCCUUUUUCAAAAUACUGAGAUAGAAACGACUUAUAUAAUAAAAUUUAGCAAUAUGAUUCCUUUUCAUGAUAAACCCGAAUAUGAUUAUCUCUAUUGUUCUGGCAGCUUUCUUGUGUCUAAUGUUCUUUUGACACACCUUUGGUACUCUGAUACAGAAGCAGUUUGAAAUCCUUUUAGUUAGCUAUAGAGUAAUAAAGAAAAAUUGAAGAUUAGGUUGUUUAAAAAAACAACUGAAGAUUUCAUCUUUGUACAAUAACUCGGAGGCAAUGAAGUACAAAUUCGAUGAACUCAGUGGCAGUAUCAGGUAAACACCAAGCAUGUAAGUUACCAAUUUCAUUUUCUUCCAUCCUAUGCCUCUCUUUUUUUUAAUAUGAAAAAUACUUGCAUAUCUUAAAGGUGACACACAUCUCAUAUGGAGUCUAAUUCUUUUGAUAGAUUUAGUUGUGCUAAACACUCAAAUUGAAAAGGUUACCACUGCUUGACCAUAAUAAGGUGAAUUCUCAGGCUGAAAUUUUAUCUACUCUUGUGAAUAUGAUUGUUAUAUUUUGUGUCUCAUUACUUACUUAAUUUGAAGUAAAAAAGGCAACUAAAAAUAUUAGAAGAAAACUAAACUCUCUGUAUUUCAGAGCUUUAAGAUUUAUAAAUUUGAAAAUCAGUGAUUGGAGUUGUAAUUGAGAGGGAGCAGGGAAGGUAAGGCAGAAAAAGGGAAACUUUGAAAACUCAAAGGGAGAGGAAGGUAAGCACAACCUAACUAAUGGCAAAGGUCGAAUAUAGAGAGUGAUGAAGGGUGACGAGAAAUUUGGUAGUUUCUUCCAAUCAAGUUUCAGAUAUGCAGAAACCAAAGGCAACUCUCAGCCCAUUUGAGUGCACACAAAUAGUUUGUUAUUAUCUCCUGCUCGCUUAAUAUAUGGGUAAUGUUUUAUCUUGGUCCUUAAUAUAUUUCACUUGAUUGAAAUUGUCCUUAAUGUAUAACAAAUGUGUUCAUUUUGGUCUUUAA